UGGGGAAUAUUGGACAAUGGGCGGAAGCCUGAUCCAGCCAUGCCGCGUGUGUGAAGAAGGCCUUUUGGUUGUAAAGCACUUUAAGCGAGGAGGAGGCUACUUGGAUUAAUACUCUAGGAUAGUGGACGUUACUCGCAGAAUAAGCACCGGCUAACUCUGUGCCAGCAGCCGCGGUAAUACAGAGGGUGCGAGCGUUAAUCGGAUUUACUGGGCGUAAAGCGUGCGGAGGCGGCUUCUUAAGUCGGAUGUGAAAUCCCUGAGCUUAACUUAGGAAUUGCAUUCGAUACUGGGAAGCUAGAGUAUGGGAGAGGAUGGUAGAAUUCCAGGUGUAGCGGUGAAAUGCGUAGAGAUCUGGAGGAAUACCGAUGGCGAAGGCAGCCAUCUGGCCUAAUACUGACGCUGAGGUACGAAAGCAUGGGGAGCAAACAGG
rnacentral:rRNA from 1 species